AUUUCACCAUUGGGAGCCGGUGCCUUUCGAAGCACUUUCACGUGUGAACCGAAGUCGUCUUGCCCAAGACCCACGGAGACCUACCUAUAGUGACGUCAAAGUACCAGUGAGCAUGGAGGUUUGGUUGAAAUUGGUUACGACGACGUCGAGUUGGCGGCGGAGGAAGACUCGGCAUGAAGGCCAGAAAAUGGUGUGGAACAUAGUGGUAAUAGUACGCGCCCUGCUCCGAAACAAAGAAAAAGGUGCGUGCCACACUCACGAGGGACUGCCAGUGAGAUACUGGAGGAAGGUGGGGAUGACGUCAAGUCCGCAUGGCCCUUAUGGGCUGGGGCACACACGUGCUACAAUGGCAAUGACAAUGGGAAGCAAGGCUGUAAGGCGGAGCGAAUCCGGAAAGAUUGCCUCAGUUCGGAUUGUUCUCUGCAACUCGGGAACAUGAAGUUGAAAUCGCUAGUAAUCGCGGAUCAGCAUGCCGCGGUGAAUAUGUACCCGGGCACUGUACACACCGCCCGUCACACCCUGGGAAUUGGUUUCGCCCGAAGCAUCGGACCAAUGAUCACCCAUGACUUCUGUGUACCACUAGUGCCACAAAGGCCUUUGGUGGUCUUAUUGGCGCAUACCACGGUGGGGUCUUCGACUGGGGUGAAGUCGUAACAAGGUAGCCGUAGGGGAACCUGUGGCUGGAUUGAAUCCUUN
rnacentral:ncRNA from 1 species